rnacentral:rRNA from 1 species
UACGUAGGGACCAAGCGUUGUUCGGAUUUACUGGGCGUAAAGGGCGCGUAGGCGGCUUAACAAGUCACUUGUGAAAUCUCCGGGCUUAACUCGGAACGGCCAAGUGAAACUGUCAAGCUAGAGUGCAGAAGGGGCAAUCGGAAUUCUUGGUGUAGCGGUGAAAUGCGCAGAUAUCAGGAGGAACACCAAUGGCGAAGGCAGCUCGCUGGGACGGUACUGACGCUGAGGCGCGAAAGCGUGGGGAGCAAACAGG